AUGGACCAGGACGACCACCAGGACCUCCACGGCGAUGAUGAAGCCCCGCACAUGUUCGAGCUCGAUGGAACAAUAGUGCCUCGGUGUGGUGCAGCCGAGUUGGGCCAACGAUUACGUCUCCAUGGUCCUCGACCGCCUCGAUGGCUUCUAAUUCGGGACAACAAGUCAUCUGUAGGGAGGGAUUCUGUCAUUGCUAUAUACUCUAGUUCCAAUCCAUGGACGACAUCCACAAGGACCAAGACGUCGAACACCUCAUCCAGCCAGCCCCCGCACAAGCCCAAGCACCAUGAAGACCCGUCUUGGCCAGCACCAGAAGCGCCAUGGGCAGUGAAGACCAGCAGCUGCAUGACCACACUCAGCCAUCUCCGGCCAUGGCGACAGACUGCAACACAGCUGCUCAUCCAUUGGUGUUGCUGCUCUCCUCUUGUUUGUCAUCAUGAACACACCGUUGGUGUUGCUGCUCUCCUCUUGUUUGUCAUCAUGAACACACCGUUGGUGUUGCUGCUCUCCUUUGGUUUGGCUGCCAUCGGGAUGAUUCUCACUUAA
rnacentral:rRNA from 1 species